GACGAACGCUGGCGGCGUGCUUAACACAUGCAAGUCGAACGGAAAGGCCCUGCUUUUGUGGGGUGCUCGAGUGGCGAACGGGUGAGUAACACGUGAGUAACCUGCCCUUGACUUUGGGAUAACUUCAGGAAACUGGGGCUAAUACCGGAUAGGAGCUCCUGCUGCAUGGUGGGGGUUGGAAAGUUUCGGCGGUUGGGGAUGGACUCGCGGCUUAUCAGCUUGUUGGUGGGGUAGUGGCGUACCAAGGCUUUGACGGGUAGCCGGCCUGAGAGGGGGACCGGCCACAUUGGGACUGAGAUACGGACCAGACGCCAACGGGAGGCAGCAGUGGGGAAUAUUGCACAAUGGGCGGAAGCCUGAUGCAGAAACGCCGCGUGCGGGAUGCCGUCCUUCGGGUUGUAAACCGCUUUCGCCUGUGACGAGGCGUGAGUGACGGUACUGGGUAAAGAAGCACCGGCUAACUACGUG
rnacentral:rRNA from 1 species